rnacentral:ncRNA from 2 species
UAUCGCCCGGGAGAUGGCAUGCCUCCCGGCGGCACGGUGUUUCCGGCCCGCCAAACCACCGUACUCACGGUUAAUGAUGCCUGCGAGGCG